rnacentral:rRNA from 1 species
CUACGGGCCGCACCAGUGGGGAAUAUUGCACAAUGGGCGCAAGCCUGAUGCAGCCAUGCCGCGUGUAUGAAGAAGGCCUUCGGGUUGUAAAGUACUUUCAGCGGGGAGGAAGGGAGUAAAGUUAAUACCUUUGCUCAUUGACGUUACCCGCAGAAGAAGCACCGGCUAACUCCGUGCCAGCAGCCGCGGUAAUACGGAGGGUGCAAGCGUUAAUCGGAAUUACUGGGCGUAAAGCGCACGCAGGCGGUUUGGUAAGUCAGAUGUGAAAUCCCCGGGCUCAACCUGGGAACUGCAUCUAAUACUGGCAAGCUUGAGUCUCGUAGAGGGGGGUAGAAUUCCAGGUGUAGCGGUGAAAUGCGUAGAGAUCUGGAGGAAUACCGGUGGCGAAGGCGGCCCCCUGGACGAAGACUGACGCUCAGGUGCGAAAGCGUGGGGAGCAAACAGGAUUAGAUACCCCCGUAGUC